AAUGCAGUCGAACGCGUUGGCCCAACUGAUUGAACGUGCUUGCACGGACUUGACGUUGGUUUACCAGCGAGUGGCGGACGGGUGAGUAACACGUAGGUAACCUGCCCCAAAGCGGGGGAUAACAUUUGGAAACAGAUGCUAAUACCGCAUAACAAUUUGAAUCGCAUGAUUCAAAUUUAAAAGAUGGCUUCGGCUAUCACUUUGGGAUGGACCUGCGGCGCAUUAGCUUGUUGGUAGGGUAACGGCCUACCAAGGCUGUGAUGCGUAGCCGAGUUGAGAGACUGAUCGGCCACAAUGGAACUGAGACACGGUCCAUACUCCUACGGGAGGCAGCAGUAGGGAAUCUUCCACAAUGGGCGCAAGCCUGAUGGAGCAACACCGCGUGAGUGAAGAAGGGUUUCGGCUCGUAAAGCUCUGUUGUUAGAGAAGAACGUGCGUGAGAGCAACUGUUCACGCAGUGACGGUAUCUAACCAGAAAGUCACGGCUAACUACGUGCCAGCAGCCGCGGUAAUACGUAGGUGGCAAGCGUUAUCCGGAUUUAUUGGGCGUAAAGCGAGCGCAGGCGGUUUGAUAAGUCUGAUGUGAAAGCCUUUGGCUUAACCAAAGAAGUGCAUCGGAAACUGUCAGACUUGAGUGCAGAAGAGGACAGUGGAACUCCAUGUGUAGCGGUGGAAUGCGUAGAUAUAUGGAAGACACCAGUGGCGAAAGCGGCUGUCUGGUCUGCAACUGACGCUGAGCUCGAAAGCAUGGGUAGCGAACAGGAUUAGAUACCCUGG
rnacentral:rRNA from 2 species